rnacentral:ncRNA from 1 species
CCAAGUCCCGACGCACUCCCCCCGGCGCCGGGACUCUCCCCGAGCCGGGCUUCGGCGCCUAUCCCCCCUGGGUGCCGGGGCCCGGCUCCUUU